rnacentral:lncRNA from 1 species
UCUUAAUUGGCUAGAUCCUGCCUAGAGAUGGGGGAAUUGUCUGGAGGAGAAUCAAUUGAUUUAGCUCAUGUACGUGAUGGAACUGGACGGAGAAACAGUGGAGAUGAUCUUUGUAGAAAAUGUAGUCCUCUCGAAAGAAUAGUAAAAAUUGAGUCUCAGUUGGAAACAACUGACAACUUCAUUGAGACAUUGCGAUCCUAACACCCCAUGAAUGGAAUUAGUGCUCUUACAAAAGAUGCCAGAGAGAGACACAGCUGGAAGGUACCGUCUGUGAACCAGAAAACAGGUGCUCACUAGGCAUGCCUGUGCCCCGCCCGAUCUUGGGCUUCCCAUUCUCCGGGAUUGUGAGAGAUGAGUGUUUGUUGUGAAUAAACCACCAAUUACGGU